UACGUAGGGAGCAAGCGUUGUCCGGAAUCAUUGGGCGUAAAGCGCGCGUAGGUGGUCCCGUAAGUCCGCUGUGAAAGUCAAAGGCUCGACCUUUGAAAGCCGGUGGAUACUGUGGGACUAGAGUACGGAAGAGGCGAGUGGAAUUCCUGGUGUAGCGGUGGAAUGCGCAGAUAUCAGGAGGAACACCAAUAGCGAAGGCAGCUCGCUGGGACGUUACUGACACUGAGGCGCGAAAGCGUGGGGAGCGAACAGG
rnacentral:rRNA from 1 species